rnacentral:snoRNA from 1 species
GGCAGAUGAUGUCUGUUUUCAUGAUGGUCUUCAGAGAUCCACCAUGGGUCCUACUGAGAAAGCCACUUGGUUCAACUGAUGCUAGAAA